AAUUUAAAACAGGCCCAAGCAACUACUUUACCCUUCUACUACCUUUCCGACGCUUGCACCAUUUUUACUUACAUUAAUAAGCAUGUUUUACCACAUGCACCAUCUCCCACAAUAACGAGCUUUCUGCGAAGUUCUGUCGCCAUCCCUAGAUUUGUUUACUUUCUCCUGCUCUAGACAGAAAAAUUUCGACGUAAAUAAACGUUUUUCGACUCAAAUUCUGACACCGCUCUUUCCUUCGAUGUGGCAGUGGUUAGCUAUUUACUAGGCUGUCAGCGGCUCAUGUAACAACGAAAGGAAAGAAGGAGACGCUACUACACUUCACUAAAUCUCGUUACUUUGCCCUAGCGCUCUUAUAGAUGAACCCUUUGAGUAUGUAUGGACGAGGCUGAGCCUGUACAGAGUGUAAAGUGCAAUUAAAACAGUUUUAUUACAAAAAGAUUGUCUCCACUCCGACUUGAUGUCAACAGACGUUUUUUUGUUUGAAUCACAAACGCCAAAAAAAGCAGAAACCAGCGGAAAAAUUUCGUUAACGUAUUCAGUUUAGUCAUAAUAUUCGA